rnacentral:lncRNA from 1 species
GUGAUUCAUUUUACACUUACAUAUAUUCCCAAAUACCCAAACUGGGGCAGAAAUAUCCUCUGUUUUUGUCAUUUUGUGGAAGUCUGGAGCCCGCCUGAAAAGCAGGGAAUACAUUCAAGUUUAGCCGUCAGGAGCCCACUUGGAGAGUAGGGAAUACGUUUCAAAUCAGCAGUCAGGAGCCCGCCUGGAGAGCAGGGAAUGCAUUCAAGUCAGUAGUCAAGAGUCCGCCUGGAGAGCAGGGAAUACAUUUCAAGUUCAGCAGUCAGGAGCCCGCCUGAAGAGCAGGGAAUACAAUUCAAGUUCAACAGUCAAGCGCCCGCCUUGAGAGCACAGGAAUACAGUUCAAAGAUCAACAAUCAGGCAUCCACCUGGAGAAAAGGAAAACAUCUCAGAUUACAAUUCAAGGCGGCAACAAAGGGAUUCCACCAGGAGAAUACAAGUCAACAAGGCAACAAGAACCACAAGAGCAAGUUUGAAGAUAUAGAUAGGAUUUUGUAAUGCAUAUACCAUAGUAUAGUCUAGAUUCUUUUAUUUUAUCAUGGUGUAAUAAGGGGAUGCAGUAAGCAGUAGCAACAGUAGCAGCAAUAGCGAAAUCACAGCUUCAUGGUAGUCCCAGCUACCAAAACAUUCCUGAACUACACUGACCUGAUUAUUUUUAGCCAAGGAUAUGUAGGCAACCUCGGAAGUAGGGUGCGGUCAAAUCUUUCAAAAAUGCUUCCCACGGAGUAUUCAAACGGGCAAAAAUCGCUUGUAUCCGCUCACUUUAUCUUUGCACAAAAACUCUUCGUGUUUCCGAGCAAAGAGAGGCAGCUGUGAGCACGUGAUUUUUUCCCUAUAUGAAUUACGCCCAUAAAUUCAAAACAAAAUAACUUCUAUUCAUUAUUUGCAAUUUUUGUGGAUUUUGUGGCACCUUCUGAUAAUUGUUUGCAUUUGUCUGUGCAUUUUUAUUUUUGUUUAAUUAAUGAAAAAUAGCAAAAAAUAUCAUGCACUGCAUUUAGGAUUUAAUUUUAUAUUUUUAAUUAAUUGGUAAAUUAAUUUGUUUUAUAAGAUAUAAAAAUCACAAAAAUAGCUCAUUUUAAUUUUUAACUCUUUAGUUUUGAAUUUUAUAUUUUUCUUUGAACUUAGGAUUUAAUUAAUUAUUGUAAAUACUAUGGUGAUUGAUUAAUCUAAUUGGGUAGGUUAAUUUAGUCCAAAAUUUAAUUUAGGUUUUAUUUUUAAUUUGAAAAAGAAAAGGAUUUGAAAUUUGAAAAGAAAAAGAAAGGAAAUAAGAGAAAAUUGGAUUUUUUGGGCUUUUCCAUCAAAUCUCUUCCAGGCCCAAACGGUAUAUACACCCAGUACCCGGUCAAAUCACCCCACACCCGGUCCAAAACUUCCAGGCAUUAAGACGAUUCAAACGACGUAGUAUGGAGCCAAACUACGUCGUUUUGAGUUUAUUUGGUUUAAAUAGAUCUUGCCCCUUCAUCAUCCAUCAUCCAACGGUCAGGGAAGCCCCAUUGAAUUCAUUUAAAACUAUCCUAAUAACCUAGGACCAUCUCAUUCCAUCUCACUUCUGUCCCACAUCGUCUCCAUCAGAGACAUGAAGAACCCUAACGCCGCCCCAAAACGCCUCACCAUCUCCGGUGGCGGCGCCACCACAAACCGCCACCAAACUUACACCAAACACCCUCCUCCAUCUCCACAUCCUAGAUCCGCACCCCUUUUUCCCUCAAAUCGAACCCCAACUAUUCGAAUUUCAAAUCGAACCCUCAAACCCUAGCCGUCGUCCUAGAAUUCCCAACCUCCUGCCUGGCGGCGCCGGCUCCAAUCCUCACCAAAAUUACUCCCCAGGACCUCCACCAACCCCUCUUCCCAAAUCCCAUAUCAGUUUCCCUCGAACACCCUUGAAUCCUUUCGAAUCUGGAUUUGGAGACGAACCCUAGAAAUUCCUAAAUCCUAAAUCGAGUGUUCGUUGAAUUUUUCCGGUCUAAAUUGAUUUUAUUUGUGUGUUCUUGUUAAGAACACAUGAUUAACUUCAAAAUUGGCCAGAACUCGGAUGAUUUGAAGACCCAGGCUCCCUCUUUCAUUUCCCGAACCUUUUCGUGGGUACUUUCUUUUCUUUCUUCGGUUUAAUCUUUUCUUCAUUUGUUUUUCUGUUUUCUGCUUCUUCCCGUGCUUUUGAAAAUCUUAGUUUUCUAAUUUCAGAGUGUUAAUUACAUGCACGUUAGGUUUUUGUUAAGAAGUUUUCUUUUCUUUGAGUAGCUUAAGAAUUUGUUAAUAAUUUAGUUCAAAUUUCAUUAAGUGCUUAGUUGCAUCAAUUGGAAUUAGUAGAAAUUUUGCCUGAAUUGUUUCUGUUUCUGUGGAUUUCAUUCAGAGUUGGGGUUUGUUAGUAAAUACUGAAUUGGGUUGGUUUCAUGUUGGGUUUGAAAGCCCAAAGAAGGAGGUCAGCCCAGGUUAAGGUUAAAUGUUGGGUCAACUUGACCCAUGAGCUGAAAGGUAGCUAGUUAACCGAGGUAAUAACCGGGGUAUUGGCGGGUAAUUUGGGAUAAUUAGGUUGGGGAAUCUCUUUGUGACUGAAAUGGAAGCUUCCAGGAAAUAAGGUGGGGGACUGUUUUUGAAAAUCUGAUAAUUAACUAGGGAUAUCUAAGCAAAAGCAAAAUGGAAAGGGGACUAAGGGGCAAAACUAAUUCUUAAGGGGCUGUCCUAAUGCCUUGCCUAUAAAGGCACCCUAUCCUGCAUUUCAAAAAGGAUUCAGAGAUAAAAAAAUUGAGAAAAAACAAAGACGGCUAAAAUCUGAGUGAAAAUUACUAUUUCAUUGAACUCUCUAUGAGAUUUCUUCAGUUUCUAAUUCCUGAAAUAAUUCCUGAUCUAUCUGGGCUGAAAUGGUUUAAGUUUGGUGGUUUAAAGUUUUGGUUUGAAGUUCUGGUCGAUUUUUGUCAAUUGUUGCACCUCCUUUCUUGGCUUAAAGCUGGUUUUCCUUGGUUAUAUUUGUUGCUGACCACUGUCCUUGCUACUGUUUACUGCUGAUCUACUCACCCCUCUAAUAUUUCAUUUUCCAGGUAUCUAUUCUUAAACUUGUAGAGUUGAUGCUCAGAUUGGAGUUGAAAUGGAAAUAGAAGUUGUUCUUUGUAGCUUAAUACUAAGCUGUGAUUCAUAAUAUGGCUUUACUUUCAUAGAUCUCUCUGUUUCAUGCUUUCACAAUUAGGUUCUUCAUGUGUAAUUGAAUAUGCUUAAUUAUGUAAACUGAAUAACCGGAAGUCUUGUGUCACAGAUUGUACCAAGCUAUGAUCAUCUUUCUUUUUCUUGUAAGCUAUGUUGAGCAUGAAUCAGUAGUUAUAUGCAGAGUUUCUGGGUAUAAUAAUCGCGUGUGGGUUUUGAGAAUUAAACCAAAAAAUGACUGUGGUUUGGAUUAAGAAUGAUACUAAUGUUACAAACUUUGCAUUUGUGAUAUAUGUUCGUUCUUGUUCGCUGAUUAAAUCCAUAUGGAAGUUUGAGGGUUCGUUUGUUUCGUCAUUUGUCGUACUAUCUUGUUCCAUUUUGGUUUUGUUUUUUCUUUCUUUGGAGUGUCCGUUUGGUUAAAUUGAGCUCAUGGAUGUUGUAAAUUGGUAUGGGUUGGGUUCGUUUCAUAAAAAUGAAAUAGCAAUGGGAGGGAUACCAUACUUUGCCGAAACAGGCCUUGUCCAUAUGUAAAGUGGGUUUUGGGCUUUCAAGCGACUAAUUUCAAUUAUUCUUAUUGGUUUUGGUACUACAUACUUCAGGUUGUGAGAGUUUAUGUUCUAUGUAGAGAUUUAUAGUGCAGAGCUGUGUUGAACUUACAUUGAAGUAUGAAGUUUUUUAGCAGAAAUACAUACUUGUGACAUUGUCUUAUUUGACCUAAGCCUUUCCAGAACACGUAUAGACAAAUUUCAAGACCAUUAUGUGUCAAAAAUUGGUGUUAGUUUUGAUAUUGCGAAGUUAUAUAGGAUUAAUUUAGGCUAAUCGUUGAUGAGACAUUUCUCGCACAUUAUCGUGAUGCUUAAGGUAUUAAAUAGUUAUCUUGGAUAUUCUCUUUAAAGUAAGAAACGAGUUCAGUGCUCGUUGUGGCCCAAAGGUGUUCUCUGAUGACAAUGCCGACAAUAAUCUCAAAGUAGUCUAGAAAAUAAUAACAUGAAUAAAAGACAUAGUUUUCUUUUAAAAAUUAGGAUUGAGGCGUACCGUGCUGAAUAACGUGACAAUUGCACGACCCUCGUUUAAUUGGUCUCGUUUUGAUUGUUAGAAUUCGAGGCGUGCCAUUUAGCGAAUUUUCAUGGCCCUCGCAAAGAUGCAAAUGCGAAAUUGCUUUAGGCGGGUUAGUUUAAUAAUGUUACUUUCCUAAAUUUGGGUACGCAUUUAUGUGACCCAAAUCCAAAUCUCAACGAUGUUAAAAUAUGUCAAAGGCCACUGGUGCAUUUAUGUGACGCGGUUUGAGACGUGUUUUAAUAACGUUGCAAUUUUCUCUAAAAUAGAUAAAAACGGUUAUAAAGUUAAAAUUUGCGCAUAGGUUUAGAAUUGUUUGAAAUCAGAUAAUUAAGCCGAAUAUAACAGUUGAGCGACCGUGCUAGAACUACGAAACUUGGUUUCUGGUUCGCAGACUGUUAAACAGAGUCAAUCUUUUCCUCGAUUCGGAAUUCAACCGGUGACUUGGGACACCAUAAAUCUCCCAAGUGGCGACUCUAAAUCUUUAAACAAAUAAAUCUCGUUUCGAUUGUCCUUUAAUUGGAAAAACUCCCUUUAUUUAUACCCUUUCGGGGGCGUAGGUAAAAAGGAGGUGUGACACAUGUUACCUAAAGAGUAGGAAAGAACAGAGUUCAAGAUUACAGAAGUUUCUGGUCAUGAUCAUAUUAUCUCAGCAACUUAUGUUUAAGUUAAUCAAGAGUUUAUCCGUAGACUAGGUCUCAACUUCUAUUAAAUGCCUAAGUUAACAACUUCAUUUGGAAUAUCUAAAGUGUAUUAGAAGAGAUGCUUAUGCAAAGUAAUAGGCCAAUUUCAUCCUAAGUAGAUGACAUGAUUACUUUCUUCUAAAGGUCUAAAUCUCAUGCUCACACCAACUUCAUUUAUAGUUAAAGCAUGCUACUAUACCCCAGGCAGGGGCAGAUAACAUCAGCAGUUUUCGUUAAGUUCACAAGUCAUUCACAGUUAACUUAUGUAAGCGUAGUGAGGCUCAGUGAUAAUGGAAGUACAAACAUGAUCAUAAAAGGGCAAGCAAAGCUCUUUUUUAAAACAAGGGUGAGUGCAAAACUCCCAAGAGAUGGCAUUCAAUUACAAAUAUGAGACAUUUUUACAGGAUUACAACAUUACAAAUACAGUUGAGUAUCAAAAAUCAUGGAAUCAGACUAACAAUGUCAUUAUAGAAGUUUGGAACAAUGAAAAUUUCUCAUUGAGGAGGCAUAGAUAUGUUAUACAUGUUAGGUGUAUCAGCCUUAAAGUUUAGGUUAACACAACCAAUUCAAGAGAUGAUACUACAACUCUUAACCUAACUCUAUCUUUUAAUUAGGUUCUUGAAGACAAUCUCAACAUAAUUUGAUCUUAGUUAACAAUAGUAGACAGAAUACUUGGAAGAUUGACUGUAGAGAUUUAGUAGAACCCAAACUAAUUACCUUAGGGCAUUGUUUAUACAAUGAGACUCACAUAUGGAAUCAAGUAGUUAUGAAAAUGGAUAGGAACCAUUUAUACCAAUCAUUCAAGUACUACAGAAUCACAGAAGGACAUUAGAAGGAAGAAAUUGAUUCAAAUGACAUAAGCUGAUGUACCCAAACUAAUAUGACAGUUGUGUUUUCAUCAUUAAAGGUUCAUAUCCAUUUUAGUUUAGUCUAUCAGGUGAACCAUUUCAUGUGUAAAUAACACUAAGUCAAAUUAGUAUAGCAUACACGUGGGCCAUCGUAGAACAUCAGGGAGGUAUAAAGUCAAGAUAGGUGCAUAGAAUCAUUUAAAGUUCUUGGUUAAUUACAAAAAAUUAGCAAGACAUAGACUACUAAACUCAAAGACACAUUCAUUAAGAUUACAAAAGUAGUCGACUAGUACAUGGUCUUGUUUUCACAUUGUUAAAAAAACAUAUAACUCCAAAGCUUGAUAAUCGAUCAUAAACUAAUGACAAAUGCAUUAAGGCAGAGAUAACAAUUAUAACAUAUCAUAAGCAUAGUUAAUUAAAAAAAAUAACAAAAUAUACAUGAUUUUAAUUAAAUGAUUUAAAUAGAGGAAGGGUCAAGGCUAACUGACCUUCCUUUGAGCAGAAAACCGAACAAGAAUUCUCUUAGCCGCUUGGAAUCAAGACAUAAACCCCAAUCAGUGAAAACUCGAAACCGGAAAGAGGAAAGAAAUCAAAACUCAGUUAGGAACCCUAGUACCACGACCCAAAAUUCACUAGUCGUGAUGGCACCUAACCCAACCCGCUAGCUAAGCCAACUAAUAACUAUCCAAUUCCAAUAAAGUCAAUCAAACAAUCAAAUAGAGAAGUUAACUGAAUUUUAUACAUUCUCCAAGGACCGGUAGUACAAAUCAUGAGCUUCUAAGAAUAAAAUUUACAAAGACGAUAUGAAAUAUAUACAUCAUCUAUUUGAAAAGUACAUAAACAGAGUUUUAUAAAUCUAAGGCUACCAUGAACAAGAGGCAGCUACAACAGGAACGCAGGUAUAUCUUAAAAUCCAGCUCCCAUCGAACACAGCAACAACGACAGCCAACAUCUGCACGCAAGGUGCCGAAGUGCAGUAUGAGUACAACCGACCCCAUGUACUCAAUAAGUAACAAACCUAAUCUUAGGUUGAAAGUAGUAAUGAGCUGGAACAUAGGUCGCGUCCAACACCAAUAACCAACAAUAGUUCAUAACAAUGUAAAGCAAAUAAUAAAAGAAGUAAUAAGUCAUGAAUGACGUGAUACCGUACAACAUGAGGAAAAAUGCAUCUCUAUGCCUGUAUGUCAUGUGUGCAUGCCAAUGCCAUUUAUCUCGAGAUGAAUCAUGUACUCAUACUCUCAAAGUACUCAAUCUCAUUGUCUCACACCUUCCACUCAUCAAUGCUCAACCACUCAGUACUGUAUAUGGCCCAUACGGCCAGGGAAGAUCCAUCCCGGAAUAUAUAUAUCACUGAUCAUCAGUUACUCAAUACCGAUGAAGGCCAAUCCGGCCCCAUGAGGAAGAUUUAUCUCUAGGUAUAUAAAUGCUUCGAACAAGAUCCAUAUCCAGGGAAGAUCAAUCCCUCAAUAUAAUCAACCGCGCUCACUGGGGGUGUGUACAGACUCCGAAGGGGCUCCUACAGCCCAAGCGCUAUAAUCUGCACGGACAACUCACACGCCAUAGUAUCAAUAUCAGAAUCUGCACAGACAACUCACGUGUCAUAGUAUCAAUAUCAGAAUCUGCACGGACAACUCACGUGAUAUAGUAUCAAUAUCAAAAUCUGCAUGGACAACUCACGUGUUGCACGUACAACUCAUGUGCUAUAGUAUCAAUACCCUCACAAUCAGGCCCUCGGCCUCACUCAGUCACCAACCUCUCCAGUCUCACUCACGGACUCACAAUAUCAUGAAUCUAGCCCAACAACAAUGAUAUGAUGUGUCAAUAAAUAAUAACUAAGACUGAGAUAUGAUAUGAAUACAUGAAUAUGACUGAGUACAAAAUAUCAAUGAAAUUAGUGAGAUGACAGCAAGAAACGACCACUAUGGGUCCCAACAAUAUCGACAUAAAUCCUAAACAUGAUAUCUAGCAUAAUUGACAGCUCAAUUACUUUAUCACAUGGUAAAAACACAGAUAUCAACAAAAUAGGACCACUAUUCAGUGCCUUGAAAACAAUAAAGUCACAAUUCACAGGGUGCACGCCCACACGCCUAUCUCCUAGCAUGUACAUCACCUCAACAUCAAUCACAUAGCACGUAAUUCGGGGUUUCAUACCCUUAACACUAAGUUUAGCAGAGUUACUUAGCUCGAACAAGCCAAUUUCAAAACCGAGCAAGCCAAGCGAUGCUCCAAAAAUUCUAUCACGCACGUAGCGACCUCCGAACGGCUCAAAUCUAGCUAAAAGCAACUCAAAUACAUCAAAUAAAGCCCAAUGAAAUAAUUCUAAAUGAUAAAGAUCGAAUCCUAAAUCAAAUCCCAAAUCUGGCCAAAAAUUAAAUCUGGGCCCACACCGCGGAACCCAAAAAACUCACAGAAUCCGACAACUCAUCAAUUACGAUUUCAACCAUACAAGUUUCACUCAAUUUCGACUCCAAUUCGAUGUUCAAAACUCAAAAAUUCAUAUUAUGAAACUUUAGGCCAAAGCCCCCAAUUUCCUCUUUAAAAUUCCUCAACCAAAAGCUAAAAUCAAAGAUAGAUUCAUGAAAUAUAACCAAAAUCAAGUAGAGAACACUUACCCCAAUUCAUAUGAUGAAAAAUUUCUUUAAGAAUCGCCUUAAUCCGAGCUCUCUAGCUCCAAAAUAUAAAAAUGACUGAAACCCUCGAAAUAGAGUACUUUAUAAUCUGUCCAUGCAUUUCUCUAUGCUAUCACGGACAAACUAAUGCAAUAGUGAAGUACAAAAAAUUUUCAUCUCUUUUUACUCUAUGCAAUCACGGCCAAUCUCCCGCAAUCACGACGAAUAAAUUUUUCCAACAGCCUUCUCCAACUCUUCCGGAAGGCCUCUAGUAUAAUGGUCAUAACCUUUUUCUACAAAACUCCAAAUUACAAUUGUUUUGACUUUUUGAAAACUAGAGAUCAAGGGCUACAGCUUUUAUAUUUGGAUCAUCUCCAAAUUCCUUAUAGAUUGUGAGAUAUAAGCUUCCAAAGUCCGGUUAGUGCAGCAGAACAUUUACUCUACGCGAUCGCGAAAAGCCUUCCGUCAUCGCGAAGCACUGUCGAUUUUAUUCCAUUUUUCUCUUCGCUAUCGCGACCAGAACCAAGCUAUCACAUUGUGCAUCACUGUAGCUAAAAACCAGCAAAUAGAAAUGGUCUUAAACCACCAUGAAACUCACCCCAACCCUUCGGGACACCGUCCGAACAUACCAACAAGUCUCAAAACAUAUCACAAAUUUAGUCGAGGCCUCAAAUCAUAUCAAACAACGCUAAAAACACGAAUCACAUUCCAAUUCAAAAUCAAUUAACUUUGAAACUUCAAACAUUCACAACCGAUGCCGAACCUAUCAAAUCACGUCCAAUUGACCUCAAAUUUUGCACACAAGUUACAUUUGAUAUUACGGACCUGGUCCAACUUCCAGAAUUGGAAUCCGACUUCGAUAUCAAAAAGUCCACUCCCGGUGAAACUUUUCAAAAUUUCAACUUUCGCCAUUUCAAGCCAAAUUCUACUACGAACCACCAAAUUGCAAUCCGGACGCGCUCCUAAGUCCAAAAUCACCCAACGGAGCUUACAUAACCAUCAAAAAUCCAAUUCCAGGUCAAAUACUGAAAAGUCAAACUUUGUCACCCCUAUCAAAUUUAAAGCUUCUAGUAGAGAAUCAUUCUUCUAAAUCAAUUUCGAAUAACCUGAAAACCAAAACCGACGAUUCACAUAAGUCAUAAUACAUCAUACGGAGCUACUCAUACCCUCAAACAACCCAACAAAGUGUAAAUGCUCAAAACGACUGAUCGGGUCAUUACACCUAGCUUUUUACUUUGCUACUUGGAACUUUAGGUGUAGUUAAUAAUACUUCUGUAGUUAGGUCAUAUUGGUAAGAGCAUUGAAGGCUUCCUUUUAUAGUGGCAUUGAAUGUCUUAGGUUUCAACAGAUUCAAACGAUAGUGGAAGAUGACGAAGAGUUGAUGAUGUGAGUAAAAUCAAGUGAAAUCAGAGAAGAACAGAUAUAAAAGUAGUGAUAGUUUUUAUCUGAGAUGGGGAAGCUGACCGUUGAAGGCAAGAUCAAUCGGGUAUAGGCCCAUUGUCCAGAGGUCACUAUGCUUGACCUCUGGACCAAGAAUAAUGAUGAUAACACUGAAGGAAUGGCAAUGCAUGCCCCAGAUUUGAAAGUCCAUACCUGUGUUACAAACAUUUUGAAGUAUCGUCUAUUAGCUAGGGUUUCGGAUUUUAGGGACUUUGAAUCUUAUCGAUGAAAGAGGAAAGAAAACAGCAGGAUUCACAGUCAUAGUGGACAAUAAGGAUGAUUCUAUGGUCGAUUUGUGACCUUGCACAAAUUUGUGCAAGGUUUGUGAUUGAUUUGUCUGUGGGAGUUGAGAGAAUAGAGAGUGGAAGGGGAAAGGGGGACGGCUGAGUCAAAGGAAAAUGAUUUAGGGUUUGGGUAGGUUAGUUUGUCUCUAAAAGUUAAGAGGGGUGGGAGUGAUCUGGGCCGUUAGACUUUAGAUCAACGGCCGUGACAAUUCAGGGAUUAAAUGUUUAAUGAGAAAAAUUAGUUGUCGUUGGAUCUCCGUGUUUCAACGAUAGGGAUCAAAGCUGUUGAGGCAUUAAAAUUAAUGGAAAAUUUGGAUAAAGUAUGAAUUGUUGAGCAAAUGAAUUAACGGCUCAGAUGAAAUGUGUUUUUUGUGUGAGUGGUAGAGACGGGUGACGUGGCAAAUUCUAAUUGGUUCUGUCACACCUUCUUUUUCCCGAGGGGAUAGGGGAGCUUUUUAAAUUAAAGUGACAUUAAUCGAAAUAGGAUUAUUUAUUUAAUUUCAGAGUCAUCACUUGGAAUAAUUUAUGGUAUCCUAAGUCACCGAUUUAUUUUAAAUCCCAAAUCGAGGAAAUUUGACUCUGUUUUAAAAGUUUGCGAAACUAGAAGGCCGGAUAAGAAAUUCUGUUAAUCCGGGAGAAGGUGUGAGGCACUCCCGAGUUCCAUGGUUUUAACACGGUCGGUCAACUAUUAAUAAUUAGCCUAAUUAUCUGAUUUAUUACAUAUUUAAAACAUAUGGUGCAUUUUAACUUUAUAACCGAUUUUAAUAUUUAUGGAAUUUAUUUGAACAAGACGUGAUACCGCGCACUCGUUUGUUUUUGUACAUAUUGUAAAUCGAGUCAAGUGAAACGCACUUGCGAUUUACAACAUAUUUAUUUUAUUAUUAUUUGAAGCAGGGCCGGCUUUUGGGUAAAGCCACUGAAGCCCAAGCUUUAAGCCCCCAAUUUCAGGGGGCCCCACUUUUUACCCUAUAAUAUUAUUUUUUACUCAAGUAUUUGUAUUCAUAUUAUAUUUUUUGGUAAAAAUUGAAAAGGAAAGAUAUGUAUGUUCCUUAAAAAUGGGCUCCUAAAAUAUAAAUACAAAAUUUAUGGAAUAAAUAAAGUAAUUAUUCUUUUUAUUUUAUUCUUUUUCUCAUUAAAUAUUAUAUAAACCUUUCUACUUUCUUUCUUAGUUUCCAUAAUAUUCAAUUUUCUUUUUAAAUCUUUCUUAGUUAUCACCAAACAUUACUACUAUUAUAUUUUUUCUUUAUGUAUCCAAGAUAUUCUAUUGUCCUGCAUUUUUCUUCUAUCAAGCUAAAGCUAUAAGAAAUAUAUUGAAUGCAACAAAUAUUUAUUUUCACAUAAAAUUAAUGAAUCAUGUUCCUCCAUUCCAACUUUUUAGUAUUAGUUUUCUACUAACCUUUGUUUUUUUUGAUAUUUUCAAUAUGUACGCAUAUAUUAUCGUUUUAGUAUUUAUUGAAAUUUAAAUAUAUCAAAUAGAAAAUAUGAGUCGGUUAUUCAAAAUAUAAGAAAAAAAGUUGAAUCUUUAAUACAAUCCCAAAAAGCAAAGAUGAUAGUACUCCAAUCGAUAUACUCAAUCAUAUAAAAAUACUUGGUUCUUUUUCAAAUGCUUAUAUUGCUUAUAGAAUAAUGAUAACAGUUCGUGUAAUAGUUGCCUCCGACCGCCCUCGACCACAAACUAGAAAUUUGAAAGAAGUAUUUUAAAAUUAAAAUUGAUAAAAUCUUACUUAAGAUCAACCAUNNNNNNNNACUGAAAAAUUAUGUAUAUAUAUAUAUAGGUUUUUUUUAGGAAAAAAAGUUUGGCUUUAGGCCCCUAAUAGUAUUGAGCUGCCCCUGAUUUGAAGUUAUGGCCGAGUCACGUGAAGCGCACACUCGAAUUGGGGAUUACGUAUCAUGACCACGCCACGGGAACCGUACCAAUAGUCACAAUGAUUAAUUAUUAAUCACGCCUAAAGCAGCUAGCCCAUUUUAAUUAUUUUCCUAAUAUUUGAAAUUAUUGUGAGGCCAAGAGUUUAUGGAAGGAGUUAUUUUGGAAGUCGAGAAAUCUUUUGGCAACUUAAAGUAUAGACAAGUUAUCCCCAUUUGGAGAUAUUCACAAAUUACUACUCUAUCCUUGAGAUUAUGAGACAAUUAUCUAUUAUGGAAGAGUGGGUUAACUAUUAAUCUAUUGACUAAAAUCAAUGAGGCCUGGCGGAUUAAACUUGUUCGGCCCAAGUGCUUUCGCAAGGUCCAUCCUUAAAUUAAGACACACAACCCACUUUGAUUUUGCAAGACCCAACAAUGACCUACGAGCCUGACACUAAAAAUUUUCAUUCCCUAAUUCUAAACAAAUUCCUUUAAGAAAGUUAUAUUCAUUCGUCUGAUCAACUUGGCAUGUAGCUCAACGGACAAAUAGAAUCUGAAGGCCAUAAGAAAGAUAAGCAACUAUAAUAAACAAAAUGGCUUAGCAUAUCCCACAAAUUUAGAGAUUCACCCUAUUACAUAAAUAAUUACUCACUCAUAGUGGCUGAAAAUUUAAACAUAAGGAAAUUUCUAAUUACAUGGCCAAAGCACUUUUUCAGAAUAUUUCUUGGACUAGUUUCAAAACAUUCCUAUGGAGUUUACUUUAAAUUCAACAAUCCAAUUUCGAAAUUUCAGUAAACUAUGAAGCAAUUGUUAAUAUCUAACUUAAAUCUUAAGAUUUAAACACCUAACAGAGCAAUCAGAUGUAGAAGAUAUAGUAGCCAACCAUAAUAAAUACACAAUAAUCAGACACGGAUUCAGCAGACAAUUCAGGCCUUCGUUCAUACAAUUAAUGGAGGAUUACAAGUGAGCAAUCACGUACCUAGCAGCAAACGAAACAAACUUCAAAAAUCAAAUAAAUCCAACUACUGGAGGAACUUGCUGAUUACAGGAAACAACAACAAAUCUUCAACAGCAGCAGCAACUCGAAUGUUUAUUAACGAGCUCAGUGCAAAAACAGAUUUAAAAUCCUUCGUGGUUUUUUUUACAUUUUUGUUUUGUUUUUGAAGCUCUUGAAAAAUCAAAUUUCAGAUUUCUUUAGGAUGGCCGAGUUUCUCUAUCUCUAUCGACGUAUAUGAGUGAGAGGAGAAGAGAGAAGAAGGAAAUGAAGGUGGCGGCUAGGGUUUAUAGUCACAAUGGGGGGGGGGGGGGAUUUGAUCUCUUGUUGUAUAUGGAGAGAGGUGCGCCGCUAGGGUUUCGCUAGGGGAGGGGUCUGUUUUUCGUAUCUGGUCUCUGUGUGUGUGAUUAGAUGCGAGAAGGUGAGAAAUGAGAGUGAAGAAGAAGAAGAAGAAGUGGGAGGUGUGGCGGCGCUAGGGUUAGAAAUUUUUUUUGGGGGGGGGGGGGGAA